AUUGAACGCUGGCGGCAUGCCUUACACAUGCAAGUCGAACGGUAACAGGUCUUCGGAUGCUGACGAGUGGCGAACGGGUGAGUAAUACAUCGGAACGUGCCCGAUCGUGGGGGAUAACGAGGCGAAAGCUUUGCUAAUACCGCAUACGAUCUACGGAUGAAAGCGGGGGAUCUUCGGACCUCGCGCGGACGGAGCGGCCGAUGGCAGAUUAGGUAGUUGGUGGGAUAAAAGCUUACCAAGCCGACGAUCUGUAGCUGGUCUGAGAGGAUGAUCAGCCACACCGGGACUGAGACACGGCCCAGACUCCUACGGGAGGCAGCAGUGGGGAAUUUUGGACAAUGGGCGAAAGCCUGAUCCAGCCAUGCCGCGUGCAGGAUGAAGGCCUUCGGGUUGUAAACUGCUUUUGUACGGAACGAAAAGCCUCUUUCUAAUAAAGAGGGGUCAUGACGGUACCGGAAGAAUAAGCACCGGCUAACUACGUG
rnacentral:rRNA from 1 species